rnacentral:rRNA from 1 species
CCUACGGGGGGCUGCAGUGGGGAAUAUUGCACAAUGGGCGCAAGCCUGAUGCAGCCAUGCCGCGUGUGUGAAGAAGGCCUUCGGGUUGUAAAGCACUUUCAGCGGGGAGGAAGGCGUUAAGGUUAAUAACCUUGGCGAUUGACGUUACCCGCCGAAGAAGCACCGGCUAACUCCGUGCCAGCAGCCGCGGUAAUACGGAGGGUGCAGGCGUUAAUCGGAAUUACUGGGCGUAAAGCGCACGCAGGCGGUCUGUCAAGUCGGAUGUGAAAUCCCCGGGCUCAACCUGGGAACUGCAUUCGAAACUGGCAGGCUAGAGUCUUGUAGAGGGGGGUAGAAUUCCAGGUGUAGCGGUGAAAUGCGUAGAGAUCUGGAGGAAUACCGGUGGCGAAGGCGGCCCCCUGGACAAAGACUGACGCUCAGGUGCGAAAGCGUGGGGAGCAAACAGGAUUAGAUACCCGUGUAGUC